CAGUAGCCGCGGGAAUACGAGGGUGGCAAGCGUUGUUCGGAAUUACUGGGCGUAAAGGGCGCGUAGGCGGCCAUUCAAGUUAGAUGUGAAAGCCCUGGGCUCAACCUAGGAAUUGCAUUUGAUACUGUUUGGCUUGAGUUCGGGAGAGGUGAGUGGAAUUCCCAGCGUAGAGGUGAAAUUCGUAGAUAUUGGGAAGAACACCAGUGGCGAAGGCGGCUCACUGGACCGACACUGACGCUGAGGCGCGAAAGCGUGGGGAGCAAACAGGAUUAGAUACCCGGGUAGUCCCUGUCUCUUAUAC
rnacentral:rRNA from 1 species